rnacentral:rRNA from 1 species
GACGAACGCUGGCGGCGCGCUUAACACAUGCAAGUCGAACGGAAAGGCCUGCUUUCCCUUGUGGAUUGCGGGUACUCGAGUGGCGAACGGGUGAGUAACACGUGAGUGAUCUGCCCCCAACUUGGGUAUAAGCCUGGGAAACUGGGUCUAAUUCCCGAUAGGACUGCAGGGUGGUGCCUGUGGUGGAAAACGAUUUUCUAGUGGUUUGGGAUGAGCUCGCGGCCUAUCAGCUUGUUGGUGGGGUAAUGGCCUACCAAGGCGGCGACGGGUAGCCGGCCUGAGAGGGUGGACGGCCACAUUGGGACUGAGAUACGGCCCAGACUCCUACGGGAGGCAGCAGUGGGGAAUAUUGCACAAUGGGCGGAAGCCUGAUGCAGCGACGCCGCGUGGGGGAUGACGGCCUUCGGGUUGUAAACUCCUUUCGACCGCGAGGAAGCCACCUGGUUGGAAGGGUGGUGACGGUAGUGGUAGAAGAAGCACCGGCUAACUACGUG